rnacentral:rRNA from 1 species
UACGGAGGGGGCUAGCGUUGUUCGGAAUUACUGGGCGUAAAGCGCACGUAGGCGGCUUUCUAAGUCGGGGGUGAAAUCCUGGAGCUCAACUCCAGAACUGCCUUCGAUACUGGAGAGCUUGAGUCCGGGAGAGGUGAGUGGAACUGCGAGUGUAGAGGUGAAAUUCGUAGAUAUUCGCAAGAACACCAGUGGCGAAGGCGGCUCACUGGCCCCGGUACUGACGCUGAGGUGCGAAAGCGUGGGGAGCAAACAGGG